AUUGAACGCUGGCGGCAGGCCUAACACAUGCAAGUCGAGCGGAGCGGCGGACGGGUGAGUAAUGCCUAGGAAUCUGCCUGGUAGUGGGGGAUAACGUCCGGAAACGGGCGCUAAUACCGAAUACUAUCAGAUGAGCCUAGGUUGGCUUAGCUAGUAGGUGAGGUAAUGGCUCACCUAGGCGACGAUCCCUAGCUGGUCUGAGAGGAUGAUCGUCCACACUGGGACUGUGACACGGCCCAGAUCCCUACGGAAGGCGGCAGUGGGGAUUAUUGCACAAGGGGGGCAAGCCUUAUGCAGCCAUGCCGCGUGUAUGAAGAAGGCCCUAGGGUUUUAAAGUACUUUCAGUCGGGAGGCGUUACCGACAGAAGAAGCACCGGCUAACUACGUGCCAGCAGCCGCGGUAAUAC
rnacentral:rRNA from 1 species